CACGAUGAUGAGGAAUAUUCUUCUAACAGCUACUUUAAACACCAGCAGCUCACAGCUGGCAGCAUUAUUGCAUUUUCAGAACCACUUAAAACAAAACAGAGAUACAAGUGAUCUUCAGAAAAAUGUGGAACAGCAACUGACUGCUAUUUCAAAGGCAUGGAAAAAUCUCUGUAUUCCUGUUGAACAUUUUAAUAUCAUGAAUGAAUUGCCACCUAAUUUUUACAUAGUUACCCUUCAGCAUUCAGAAGACAGAUCAAACUUGUACAGUUCAGUGAUUGAGAAGCCAAAAGUAAGUCCUGCACAACAAAGAGGAAAGCCCACUCAGCCAAUGG